rnacentral:rRNA from 1 species
CCUACGGGCGGCAGCAGUGAGGAAUAUUGCACAAUGGGCGAAACCCUGAUGCAGCGACGCCGCGUGAGUGAAGAAGUAAUUCGUUAUGUAAAGCUCUAUCAGCAGGGAAGCAAAUGACGGUACCUGAGUAAGAAGCCCCGGCUAACUACGUGCCAGCAGCCGCGGUAACACGUAGGGGGCAAGUGUUAUCCGGAUUUACUGGGUGUAAAGGGAGCGUAGACGGCAGUGCAAGUCUGGAGUGAAAGGCGGGGGGUCAACCCCCGGACUGCUCUGGAAACUGUACGGCUGGAGUGCAGGAGAGGUAAGUGGAAUUCCUAGUGUAGCGGUGAAAUGCGUAGAUAUUAGGAGGAACACCAGUGGCGAAGGCGGCUUACUGGACUGUAACUGACGUUGAGGCUCGAAAGCGUGGGGAGCAAACAGGAUUAGAUACCCUGGUAGUC